rnacentral:pre_miRNA from 1 species
CAGCGUUUCUCGCCCCGCCUGCUCUCCCCGCCACGUGGUUGCCGAGCAAGGGCCUCGGGGUAGCAC